rnacentral:rRNA from 1 species
CGCGCGUACUGAUUAGAAGCUUGCUUCUAUGACGUUAGCGGCGGACGGGUGAGUAACACGUGGGCAACCUGCCUGUAAGACUGGGAUAACUUCGGGAAACCGAAGCUAAUACCGGAUAGGAUCUUCUCCUUCAUGGGAGAUGAUUGAAAGAUGGUUUCGGCUAUCACUUACAGAUGGGCCCGCGGUGCAUUAGCUAGUUGGUGAGGUAACGGCUCACCAAGGCAACGAUGCAUAGCCGACCUGAGAGGGUGAUCGGCCACACUGGGACUGAGACACGGCCCAGACUCCUACGGGAGGCAGCAGUAGGGAAUCUUCCGCAAUGGACGAAAGUCUGACGGAGCAACGCCGCGUGAGUGAUGAAGGCUUUCGGGUCGUAAAACUCUGUUGUUAGGGAAGAACAAGUACAAGAGUAACUGCUCGUACCUUGACGGUACCUAACCAGAAAGCCACGGCUAACUACGUGCCAGCAGCCGCGGUAAUACGUAGGUGGCAAGCGUUAUCCGGAAUUAUUGGGCGUAAAGCGCGCGCAGGCGGUUUCUUAAGUCUGAUGUGAAAGCCCACGGCUCAACCGUGGAGGGUCAUUGGAAACUGGGGAACUUGAGUGCAGAAGAGAAAAGCGGAAUUCCACGUGUAGCGGUGAAAUGCGUAGAGAUGUGGAGGAACACCAGUGGCGAAGGCGGCUUUUUGGUCUGUAACUGACGCUGAGGCGCGAAAGCGUGGAGAGCAUACAGGAUU